UACGUAGGGUGCGAGCGUUGUCCGGAAUUACUGGGCGUAAAGCGCGCGCAGGCGGUCUUCCAAGUCAGUGGUGAAAGCCCGGAGCUCAACUCCGGAACUGCCAUUGAAACUGUAAGACUUGAGGAUGAGAGAGGUGAGUGGAAUUCCCAGUGUAGAGGUGAAAUUCGUAGAUAUCGGGAGGAACACCAGUGGCGAAGGCGGUUGCCUGGGGCUUUGCUGACGCUGAUGCGCGAAAGCGUGGGGAGCGAUCCGG
rnacentral:rRNA from 1 species